rnacentral:rRNA from 1 species
UCUUAGCAACCGGAUUUGGUCCUAGUCCUACCCUUGAUUUUACCUAAACCGAUACAUGCAAGCCACCUAGCAAUACAGUGAGUAAAAUUUUAAAUUACCCUCCAAAGAAUUAAUUUCAAUAAAAAGUAUCAGAAAAUCAUCUCACCGAUUCCAAGACACUUAGCCCUCCACAUCUGCAGUACCUAACAUUAUACUAUAAGCAAAAGCUUGAUAUAGUUAUAGGUUAAAGAGUUGGUUAAUUAUGUGCCAGCCACCGCGGUUAUACAUAAAACUCAAAUCAAGAAUACUUCUAUCGGUCUAAAGGUGACUAGGGUUAAACUUACCUUUAAGGUGGAAAAUAACUCUAGUACUAACAAGCUUUUACAGUAAACUAACAACUUACUCAAUCUCACCUUAAUCCUACCUUCCCCCUACCCGAAGCACCAAAGCUCAAAAAUAAACUGGGAUUAGAUACCCCACUAUAUGAGCCGUAAAAAAAUCGAAACACCAGAGAA